GUGAAGGCUUGACCUCAAAUCAGGUAGGACUACCCGCU
rnacentral:rRNA from 1 species